rnacentral:misc_RNA from 1 species
UACGAAGGGGGCUAGCGUUGUUCGGAAUUACUGGGCGUAAAGGGCACGUAGGCGGAACAUUAAGUUAGGGGUGAAAGGCCUGGGCUCAACCUGGGAACGGCCUCUAAGACUGAUGAUCUCGAGCCCGGAAGAGGAUGGCGGAAUUCCCAGUGUAGAGGUGAAAUUCAUAGAUAUUGGGAAGAACACCGGUGGCGAAGGCGGCCAUCUGGUCCGGCACUGACGCUGAGGCGCGAAAGCGUGGGGAGCAAACAGG